rnacentral:snRNA from 1 species
UCUUCGGUCAAGGGUAUACGAGUAGCUGCGCUCCCCUGCUAGAACCUCCAAAGAAGCUCUCAAGGUCCAUUUGUAGGAGAAUGUAGGGUAGUCAAGCUUCCAAGACUCCAGACACAUCCAAAUGAGGCGCUGCACGUGGCACUCUGCCUUCCUUU